GAUGAACGCUAGCGGCAGGCCUAACACAUGCAAGUCGAGGGGUAACAUAGAAAAGCUUGCUUUUCUGAUGACGACCGGCGCACGGGUGCGUAACGCGUAUACAACCUACCUUUUAGCGGGGAAUAGCCCAGGGAAACUUGGAUUAAUGCCCCAUAGUAUAUAGACUUCUCCUGAAGUUUAUAUUUAAACAUUUAUGGCUAUUAGAUGGGUAUGCGUCCUAUUAGUUAGUUGGUAAGGUAACGGCUUACCAAGGCAGCGAUAGGUAGGGGUCCUGAGAGGGAGAUCCCCACACUGGUACUGAGACACGGACCAGACUCCUACGGGAGGCAGCAGUGAGGAAUAUUGGACAAUGGGCGAGAGCCUGAUCCAGCCAUGCCGCGUGCAGGAAGACUGCCCUAUGGGUUGUAAACUGCUUUUACAGAGGAAGAACCACCCUCACGUGUGGGGGUUUGACGGUACUCUGCGAAUAAGGAUCGGCUAACUCCGUG
rnacentral:rRNA from 1 species